CCUACGGGAGGCAGCAGUGGGGAAUUUUGGACAAUGGGCGCAAGCCUGAUCCAGCAAUGCCGCGUGCAGGAUGAAGGCCUUCGGGUUGUAAACUGCUUUUGUACGGAACGAAACGGUCCUUUCUAAUAUAAGGGGCUAAUGACGGUACCGUAAGAAUAAGCACCGGCUAACUACGUGCCAGCAGCCGCGGUAAUACGUAGGGUGCGAGCGUUAAUCGGAAUUACUGGGCGUAAAGCGUGCGCAGGCGGUUAUAUAAGACAGAUGUGAAAUCCCCGGGCUCAACCUGGGACCUGCAUUUGUGACUGUAUAGCUAGAGUACGGUAGAGGGGGAUGGAAUUCCGCGUGUAGCAGUGAAAUGCGUAGAUAUGCGGAGGAACACCGAUGGCGAAGGCAAUCCCCUGGACCUGUACUGACGCUCAUGCACGAAAGCGUGGGGAGCAAACAGGAUUAGAUACCCUGGUAGUCCACGCCCUAAACGAUGUCAACUGGUUGUUGGGUCUUCACUGACUCAGUAACGAAGCUAACGCGUGAAGUUGACCGCCUGGGGAGUACGGCCGCAAGGUUGAAACUUAAAGUGAAUUGACGG
rnacentral:rRNA from 1 species